rnacentral:rRNA from 1 species
GGUUGAUCCUGCCAGUAGUCAUAUGCUUGUCUUAAAGAUUAAGCCAUACAUGUCUAAGUAUAAGCAUCUUAUACAGCGAAACUGCGAAUGGCUCAUUAAAUCAGUUAUAGUUCAUUUGAUAAUACCUCAAAAAACUACUUGGAUAACCAUAGUAAUUCUAGAGCUAAUACAUGCUAAAAGCCUCGACUUUUGUGGGAGAGGUGCAUUUGUUAGAUACAAAAAAAAAACCAAUACUGGUAGGGGCAACUCUGCCAGU